UGUUGAACCGGACACCCAUGUCCACAUCCAAGCAGCACUGGUUUAGCAUCCUUGUCCUCUACAACUCCAUUUGGACAACAUUCAUUUAUGCAAAAUUACAGUAUAUUGAGUGAAGUUGAUAUCAAGCGGCGCCAAGAGGAUGACAUAAAUAGGGUUUCAACUGUUCUUUCAAUUUCCAAACCAGAGGCAUGUGUUCUUCUCCGCAACUAUAACUGGAGUGUUAGUAAGGUGCAUGACGAAUGGUUUGCUGAUGAAGAGCGUGUUCGGAAGGUGGUUGGUUUACCAGAGAAGCAUAUUGAAAUGACAAAUGACAGAGAAGUAUUCCCAUGCUUCAU